GAGUUUGAUCCUGGCUCAGGACGAACGCUGGCGGCGUGCUUAACACAUGCAAGUCGAACGGAAAGGCCCUGCUUUUGUGGGGUGCUCGAGUGGCGAACGGGUGAGUAACACGUGAGUAACCUGCCCUUGACUUUGGGAUAACUUCAGGAAACUGGGGCUAAUACCGGAUAGGAGCUCCUGCUGCAUGGUGGGGGUUGGAAAGUUUCGGCGGUUGGGGAUGGACUCGCGGCUUAUCAGCUUGUUGGUGGGGUAGUGGCUUACCAAGGCUUUGACGGGUAGCCGGCCUGAGAGGGUGACCGGCCACAUUGGGACUGAGAUACGGCCCAGACUCCUACGGGAGGCAGCAGUGGGAAUAUUGCACAAUGGGCGGAAGCCUGAUGCAGCAACGCCGCGUGCGGGAUGACGGCCUUCGGGUUGUAAACCGCUUUCGCCUGUGACGAAGCGUGAGUGACGGUAAUGGGUAAAGAAGCACCGGCUAACUACGUGCCAGCAGCCGCGGUGAUACGUAGGGUGCGAGCGUUGUCCGGAUUUAUUGGGCGUAAAGGGCUCGUAGGUGGUUGAUCGCGUCGGAAGUGUAAUCUUGGGGCUUAACCCUGAGCGUGCUUUCGAUACGGGUGACUUGAGGAAGGUAGGGGAGAAUGGAAUUCCUGGUGGAGCGGUGGAAUGCGCAGAUAUCAGGAGGAACACCAGUGGCGAAGGCGGUUCUCUGGGCCUUUCCUGACGCUGAGGAGCGAAAGCGUGGGGAGCGAACAGGCUUAGAUACCCUGGUAGUCCACGCUGUAAACGGUGGGUACUAGGUGUGGGGUCUAUUCCACGGGUUCCGUGCCGUAGCUAACGCUUUAAGUACCCCGCCUGGGGAGUACGGCCGCAAGGCUAAAACUCAAAUGAAUUGACGG
rnacentral:rRNA from 1 species